rnacentral:rRNA from 1 species
GACGAACGCUGGCGGCGUGCUUAACACAUGCAAGUCGAACGGAAAGGCCCUGCUUUUGUGGGGUGCUCGAGUGGCGAACGGGUGAGUAACACGUGAGUAACCUGCCCUUGACUUUGGGAUAACUUCAGGAAACUGGGGCUAAUACCGGAUAGGAGCUCCUGCUGCAUGGUGGGGGUUGGAAAGUUUCGGCGGUUGGGGAUGGACUCGCGGCUUAUCAGCUUGUUGGUGGGGUAGUGGCUUACCAAGGCUUUGACGGGUAGCCGGCCUGAGAGGGUGACCGGCCACAUUGGGACUGAGAUACGGACCAGAGUGCUACAGGAGGCAGCAGUGGGGAAUCUUGCACAGUGGGCGGAAGCGUGAUGCAGCAACGCCGCGUGCGGGAUGCCGGCCUUCGGGUUGUAAACCGCUUUCGGCUGUGACGAAGCGUGAGUGACGGUAAUGGGUAAAGAAGCACCGGCUAACUACGUG